CGCGUAGGCGGAUGUUUACAGUCAGGCGUGAAAUUCCUGGGCUCAACCUGGGGGCUGCGUUUGAUACGUGAUGUCUGGAGUUCGGAAGAGGGUCGUGGAAUUCCCAGUGUAGAGGUGAAAUUCGUAGAUAUUGGGAAGAACACCGGUGGCGAAGGCGGCGACCUGGUCCGAUACUGACGCUGAGGCGCGAAAGCGUGGGGAGCAAACAGGAUUAGAUACCCUGGUAGUCCACGCUGUAAACGAUGUGCGCUGGAUGUUGGGUGACAUAGUCAUUCAGUGUCGUAGCUAACGCGAUAAGCGCACCGCCUGGGGAGUACGGCCGCAAGGUUGAA
rnacentral:rRNA from 1 species